rnacentral:lncRNA from 1 species
AAACUAAGGGACAAAGGGAGGGGGGGGAUGACCUCUCUGAUCCCUACAGCCUCCAAUUCUGUGACGCAACUUCCAUCACUGCAGGGAGUGGGGUUCUGCCAACAUACCUCCAUCUUGAUUCUCGAGCUUGGCCGAACCCAGAGGUGCAUCCUGUCCCUUUUUCCCUGGCAAGUUCUGGAAUGGGCUAGUGGAGUCAGGAGUCAGAUGCGUGGUCUUACCCAAUUAGCCUGGUUCACAGAGGAAUGA